rnacentral:misc_RNA from 1 species
GAUGAAGAACGUAGCGAAAUGCGAUAAAUAAUAUGAAUUGCAGAAUUCAGCGAAUCAUCGAGUUUUUGAACGCACAUUGCGCCCCUUGGUAUUCCGAGGGGCAUGCCUGUUCGAGCGUCAUUUUGACCACUCCCGCUUGCGGGGUCUUGGGCCUUCGCCUCUGGGCGGGCCUUAAAAUCAGUGGCGGUGCCGUCCGGCUCUAAGCGUAGUAAAUCUCCUCGCUAUAGGGUUCCGGAGGGAUGCUGGCCAACAACCCCCAACUUUUAAGGUUGACCUCGGAUCAGGUAGGGAUACCCGCUGAACUUAAGCAUAUCAAUAAGCGGAGGA